rnacentral:rRNA from 1 species
AUUGAACGCUGGCGGCAUGCUUUACACAUGCCAGUCGGACGGCAGCACAGAGAAGCUUGCUUCUUGGGUGGCGAGUGGCGCACGGGUGAGUAAUAUAUCGGAACGUACCGAGUAAUGGGGGAUAACUAAUCGAAAGAUUAGCUAAUACCGCAUAUUCUCUGAGGAGGAAAGCAGGGGACCUUCGGGCCUUGCGUUAUUCGAGCGGCCGUUAUGUGAUUCGCCAGUUGGUGGGGUAAAGGCCUACCAAGGCGACGAUCAGUAGCGGGUCUGAGAGGAUGAUCAGCCACACUGGAACUGAGACACGGCCCAGACUCCUACGGGAGGCAGCAGUGGGGAAUUUUGGACAAUGGGCGAAAGCCUGAUCCAGCCAUGCCGCGUGUCUGAAGAAGGCCUUCGGGUUGUAAAGGACUUUUGUCAGGGAAGAAAAGGCUGUUGCUAAUAUCGACAGCUGAUGACGGUACCUGAAGAAUAAGCACCGGCUAACUACGUG